rnacentral:piRNA from 1 species
UGCUGUCACUGUGCCAAGUGCCGCCAGC